rnacentral:rRNA from 1 species
CCUACGGGAGGCAGCAGUGAGGAAUAUUGGUCAAUGGCCGUAAGGCUGAACCAGCCAAGUCGCGUGAAGGAAGAAGGUCCUAUGGUUUGUAAACUUCUUUUAUAGGGGAAUAAAGGUAUCCACGUGUGGAUAUUUGCAUGUACCCUAUGUAUAAGGAUCGGCUAACUCCGGGCCAGCAGCCGCGGUAAUACGGUGGAGGCGAGCGUUAUCCGGAUUUAUUGGGUUUAAAGGGUGCGUAGGUUGUUUUUUAAGUUAGCUGUGAAAGUGUGUGGCUCAACCAUAAAAUUGCCGUUGAAACUGGAAGACUUGAGUGUGUUUGAGGUAGGCGGAAUGCGAGGUGUAGCGGUGAAAUGCGUAGAUAUCACGCAGAACUCCGAUUGCGAAGGCAGCUUACUAGGCCGUAACUGACACUGAGGCUCGAAAGCGUGGGGAUCAAACAGGAUUAGAUAACCCGGUAGUC